UACGGAGGGUGCAAGCGUUAAUCGGAAUUACUGGGCGUAAAGCGUGCGCAGGCGGUUUGUUAAGUCUGUUGUGAAAUCCCCGAGCUCAACUUGGGAAUUGCAAUGGAUACUGGCAGGCUGGAGUAUGGUAGAGGAAGGUGGAAUUCCCGGUGUAGCAGUGAAAUGCGUAGAGAUCGGGAGGAACACCAGUGGCGAAGGCGGCCUUCUGGACCAAUACUGACGCUCAUGCACGAAAGCGUGGGGAGAAAACAGG
rnacentral:rRNA from 1 species